GGGCUCGUGGUUUAGUGGUAUAAUACUCCCUUAGCAUGGGAGUGGUCCGGGGUUCGAGUAUGUCUUGACCCA